UACGUAGGGAGCAAGCGUUGUCCGGAAUCAUUGGGCGUAAAGCGCGCGUAGGUGGCUUCAUAAGUCCGUUGUGAAAGUCAAAGGCUCAACCUUUGAAAGCCGAUGGAUACUGUGAAGCUAGAGUACGGAAGAGGCGAGUGGAAUUCCUGGUGUAGCGGUGGAAUGCGCAGAUAUCAGGAGGAACACCGGUGGCGAAGGCGGGUCUCUGGGCCGAAACUGACGCUGAGGAGCGAAAGCGUGGGGAGCAAACAGG
rnacentral:rRNA from 1 species